GCCUGACGGAGGAGAUGUGGGGUGUGGGCUCUGGAUUGGUUGGUUUGCAAAAGAGGGUGUGUCUGCAGGCAAGUGUUUUAACACUACAGACACUGGCUCACCCUGGGAGGGGCAGCCUCUCAGGGUCCACAGGACCCAGAUGUCAAAGCAUCAGAAUAAAAAGACACAGUUAAUGCAUUGCCGUUGAGGUUUAGCUGUUUACCUGGGGAGAUGAGCAAGAGAUGACCAUGCAACACAGCUAAACACACAGCCGGGGCCCCUGGCCAGCCUCCGGAGGGAUGGGCUUCUCUGUGGAAGCUUCUCUCCAGCCCUGAGGGGUGGACAGGAGUCAGUCAGGCAAACAGGACAUCUAGACAGAGGAAGCACAAAAAACAGAGACAGAGGAGGAGGGGAACAAUUCAGAAAAUGAAAGAAGCUCAAAAUUGAUGGAAAGCCCAAGCUUGUGGGAAAAAGCGCCAGUAAGAGAGAAGGCUGUCAGGACCAGAUCGUGGAGGGUGGGGUUUAACCCAGAAGCUGGCUUUAUCCUGAAGGCAAGAAGAGCCACAGAAGGGUUUGAUGGAGAUUUUGCAAAUAUUUCCCCGGAUUUGGGCUUUUAGGACUGAAAUCGCCAUAUUCUCUAUGCUCUUGCAGAAGAUGGCAAAUAAUACAUCAGGAGUUACUUCUGAUGUUGCGGCCUCCUCAGCAAAUGGAAGCACCUGGCCUGCCUCACCUGGUGAAUCCACCCAGGAUGGACCGUGCCUUGGAGAAAAGGAGAGAAGCUGCAGAACAACCCUCAAAGCCAGCAGCCUGAUAAACUACAUUUCAGAAACAACCACCUUUUAGAGACAGGGAAUAGCAGACAUUCUUUGUGAUGAACGCACUGAAAUUUCAGGCAAGCAGCACUACAGGGUUUCUUAAUUGAACUUUUGUGAAUUUUAUUCAAAGCAGACUAUAACAAUAUGGUUCUUGAUUGCUGUUAUUUCUCUACCUCGUGAAGAAUGUGGGCCUGGUGGAACUGGCUAUUGUUCUGCAUAUCACAUGCUUCCCCAUUAUUUCUCUUUCCAUGUCCACACUGAAAUUUGGUCGCAGCGAGUGGGCAGGUAAAGGGACCCAAUUUUCGAAGAAAAUUAAUGAAGAGAGAAUGGAUGGGCGAGCAGCUGCCCUUUCAUCCCUGAUGGCAGAGUAGGCUCAGGUACAGGUGGGUGGGCUGCUAGGCGUUGCAUUGAAAUUCCUUUAUCAUCUCAGCCUUUUCUCCGAAGGCCUUCAAAGAGCUGAGCCCAGCUGCUCCCAUCCCCUCGCCUCUGCCUCCUCUACUGAUGACAGGACACAGAAAGCAUCCCAAAACCUGAAGCCACAGGGGCAGACUGGGGUGGGUGCUGAUGUCCUUGUAGAAAGUGAAAUGUUGUACUUAUAUUCAAAGACAGCCAUCUUCACACCGGGUGCCUGGGAGGACAGUCACACCAGACAUUGCAGCUAUCUUAUAUCAUUCCAUCUUUUCUGCUCAGCCAAUGUACUCAUCGCUCAUUGUUCAAGACACUCCCAAGUCAAACCAGCAAGCCGAAUUUCACUGCUCUGAGUUUAAAAUGUAUUAACUGCUGUCAUGAUCUAAUAAUAAGUAUUAUAUCUGCUUUAAGAUCUCCCAGCAGGGGACAAGGGAAGCAUACAUGGAGCUGGAAAUUCACUGAUUCUGCUCUUCAAGAAACAUCAGGCCUGAAGAAGGGCAGUGGAGCUCUCGGGAUGGCUCCUGCAGUUAAUGAGCCUGACACUCUUUGCCUUCCAUGACAGGACACAGGUUCCCUUCACAGUAAGGCCAGGCAGUGUUGUCUCAUAGCCAAGCAGCAGCCUGAAAAUCAACCAGAACUUGGAAGUGAACACACACUCUGCCUCUUAAUACAGCAGUGACACUUUGCUACUCUGAGCCUCCUUUUCCUCUCUGUAAAAUGAGAAUAAUUCUCACUUUUCCUGAGAUUGUAUAGAAACUAGAAGAAGCAAAGCAUGAAAAAGCAACGGGCAACCUGCAGACCAAACAGUAUUGUUGAGUCACCACCAAGUACUAGACACCAUAAGCUCCUUCAAUUCCUACAACACC
rnacentral:lncRNA from 10 species